rnacentral:snoRNA from 1 species
AUUCCAUGCAUCGAACAUUUCCAAAGUAAUUCCUUAAAUCUUUCCCAAGCUUCAUACAACAUCUCAUCUUCUGAUUACCGAAAAGAUGUGAUGUCAUUACUAAGCUU